GGCUGGUUAGCUCAGUUGGUUAGAGCAUGGUGUCAAUAACGCCAGGGUCCAAGGUUCAAUCCCUGCACUGGCCA